GACGAACGCUGGCGGCGUGCUUAACACAUGCAAGUCGAACGGAAAGGCCCUGCUUUUGUGGGGUGCUCGAGUGGCGAACGGGUGAGUAACACGUGAGUAACCUGCCCUUGACUUUGGGAUAACUUCAGGAAACUGGGGCUAAUACCGGAUAGGAGCUCCUGCUGCAUGGUGGGGGUUGGAAGGUUUCGGCGGUUGGGGAUGGACUCGCGGCUUAUCAGCUUAUUGGUGGGGUAGUGGCUUACCAAGGCUUUGACGGGUAGCCGGCCUGAGAGGGUGACCGGCCACAUUGGGACUGAGAUACGGCCCAGACUCCUACGGGAGGCAGCAGUGGGGAAUAUUGCACAAUGGGCGGAAGCCUGAUGCAGCAACGCCGCGUGCGGGAUGACGGCCUUCGGGUUGUAAACCGCUUUCGCCUGUGACGAAGCGUGAGUGACGGUAAUGGGUAAAGAAGCACCGGCUAACUACGUG
rnacentral:rRNA from 1 species